GGAAGAGGGUUAAACUAGAAGGCAUUGAGCUGGAAGAAUAUUUGAAGAAAGAAAAAGAAAGGGAAGCUGAAGAAGCUAGAAUUAAGGCAGAAGAAGCCUUAAAAGCACUGGAUGAGGAGUCAAGUGAUGACAGCGAUGUGGACAUGGAGGCAGAUAUGCAGUAUCAGGGGAAGGCUACUAAGCAUGAUCUCAUGGUUAAGACUGAGG